rnacentral:lncRNA from 1 species
AAGUGAGAUGACACAGUGAAACACAUAGCCCCGUACCAAGGACACAUUUAUUUACUCAAAAAAGCUAGCUAUGCGUAAGACCGGGAACAUUUAAACAUCAUAAAAGUAAAACAUGCUGACUGUAAAAAAUGGGAGAAAUCUGGUAAAGUGUAAAAACAAAAAUUACCAGUCACUGCAAUGCUUCUCGAUAAUAUUUUUCCAUCUAUUUUGUAUACUUAUUUUAUCAGUCAGUGUAGAUCAUAGUCCAGGGAAAACCGUACCAAAAUCUCAGUGGUUUCAAGGCACAGAGGUUCAUUUCUGCUCAUACCCAGAUCACAGGAGUCUGGGUGACUCUCAGGUGCUCUUUCCCAUAUUGUGGCUCAGUGAUAGAGGCUCCUUUGAGCUUCUGGGCCUUCAGAAUGAAUACACAUUCCCAUGACUGCUUAGGCCAGGGGAGAGUGGGCUGGGAAGGGUUGCACCAGCAAUUGAACACCAUCACCCAGAAGUGACACAGGUUACUUCUCUCGCAUUUCACUGGCCAAAGCAACUCACACAACCAUCCUGAUAUCAAGGGGCGAGGAAGGGAAAUCUUCCAGGGUGCCUGGAUGCAAUGGGCGAGUGGACCUGGGACACCGUGACUACGUCCACCCCACACAUUCCCAGAAUCGAAGACACAUCGCGUCUGUGAUUUUGCUUUUUCACUGCUUUUGUCUCUUCCCAUUACAUCAUAAAAUAUUCUUCGAAAACAUGUGGCACGGAUAAAGCUGCAGAUUUAAGAAAAGAUUUUAAGUUGUAUGGUGACACUAUUUCCCUCUUCCUCGUUCUCUCCUUCCUCUUAUUCUUCUAAUUUAGGGAACUGUAUGUAGGUGGCAGAGAUCCAGGCACCAAAACUUUGCAUGUCCUUGCUCAGAAAUGCCUCCUCUUCUCUUCCUGGCCAACGCAGGACAGGCCGGUUCUGUCGUUCCUUCCUGGAGAGCUUGUGCUGUUCUGUGGGCGUCUUUCCCUCCAGAAGUAACACAUUUGGAGGUGAGGCCCAGAGAACCUGCUGAACAACUGCCGGAUUAACAACUCCACAUGUGGGGUGUGGCUGCACGCGGCUCUGCCGGGGCCUCCUUGCGCAGACAGUCAGCCAGUGGUGUUAACGCGCAGUGUUAAAAGUGACACCAAAGUGGUGCCGGCGCCACUGUCAGCUGCUGCAAGAGAUAACACCCGGGCCUGCAGAGUUGGGUGCGAGCUCAGGAGCGACAGCCCCUCCUCGCUGGUGUCCCAGGAUCCCAGGGACCAGUGGGAAGGGGUCCAGGAGGAAGGAGCUCGGUGGGCCCACUCGAGAGGAGUACUUUGUUCCAAGCAUGCAAAGUAUGGGAAACUGAAGCUGUGGGGACAGUGAGGAACGUGUUGAGGUCAAGAGGCUGAGAACUGGAAGGAAGGACCAGUCGAGUCAGCAAGAGCACUGUGCUGAGAUCUGCUCUGUUCCUUUUUCGCUCAACAAACUUGCUGCCGUGUGCCUGCUCUGCUCCUGCAGGGAGGGCACCUGCGACCUUCCUAAAAGAGAUCAUCAACAACUUCUGAGGUUUAGAAUCCAGCUGUGAAAAUGUUACUGACAUACUUGAAACAAUUAAAGAUGAACGCAAAGUGCACUCUCAUCUGGCAUUGGGCUGUGCAGGCAGGUGGCCUGGGUUUCAGAGGAAUUGGCAGGAGGGAGAGUUUGCUGAGGGCAUAGAAAUGCUCCAAAGGGCUCCUUCUUUGUCAGCUGCCACCAUCCACAGAAACCCCAGAGAGCAGGGGAAGAAAGCAAAUGUGGAGCAAAGAAGGCAAGCAGGGAGAAGGGGAUUAUGUAAUCCUCCAGCAGUGUGUGAGCUGAGUGAGGCAGUCCUCUGCAAGCCCCUUUUGCCGAUGGAGAAAGUGAGACCCAGAGGGCUAACCCACCUUCCUCUGGGGACAGCGAUACAACUGAAGCUGAGCUGGUCCAGCCUGGUGCCAUCUGCAGAAAGACUUACGUGCAUUUUCCCUCACAAGCUGUGGAUGAAGGGGUAAGGUCUGACCCGUGCCCAGCAUCGGCUGGGAGCUGGACCAAGAUUUCAUGGAAAGUAAAACUCAAGACUUUCACUUCCUUGAGUGUGAAAUAAAACAACUCAUCUCUAGUUUGCAGAGCACUAUCCUCUUUAUUAUCUUAUUUUCUUCUCACAACAACCUGUGACAAACACAUUAUUAUUUCCAUUUUGCAAUUUCAGAACCUGGGGCUGGGAGGGAGAUUGAGCUGCAUUUUGCAGCUCUGGAGGGAGGAGAUAGAGCCCAGGUGGGCUGAGGCUGUUUCAGGCCUUCGUUGCUCUAUCACGCAGCCUCUGGAGUCAACCACCGAUCAUCCAAGACAACCCAGAUAUUAGCUCAUUGGCCUGCUGAAUCCCAUUUCCUCUUCAAAUGUGACCCGCCCCAACAAGCUCAGUCUGGAGCCCACUGGACUAGGAGUGGAUUUGGAGGGUGCUACCCUUUGGCUGGCCAGCCACCAAUCAGAUACUUCUGCUGGAUCUGACCUAAGUCUGCACAGGGAGCUGGGAGAACCGAGGCACGAUGGAAGGAUAUGAGCCGGAAGUCUGCAGGAAACACCAGUUCCCAGGACCUCCGUUUACAGAUGGGAAGACCGAGGCUCAGAGAAUAUAAGCUGCUGGCGGACACACCACUGGGAAGUGGUGAAACCUCACCCAGGCUCUCCCCCUGCCAUGCAGGCUGUCACUGAAAUCAUGCUGGGCCCUCACCAUCCAAGCCGGUGGGUACCCCCGACAGAGCCACACUCUUGAAGGUGUUUCUCUACCCAAUCUAAAGCAGGAUGUCAUUUUUCACCUCCACAUUCCCGUCAUCGUGCAGCAGGUUGCACAUCUCCUCAUUUCUGAGGAAGCCAUUUGGGGCUGUGUUCUGUGAACGGCCUGUUGCUAUUUGCUCGUGUUCCCCUGGGGUUGUUGAUUUUCCGCUGACUGUAGGAGUGCUUUAGCAUUUAAGGAAACUCACCCUUUGCCAUAUGUGUUGCAAAUAUUUUUUCUAGUUUUUUUUUUUAUAGUGGGAUUUUAAUAUCACAUGCAGUUGAAUUUUCAAUAUUUAUUUUCUGGCUUGACAUUUAAAGUCAACCUAGCCAGCCUCCUUCCGUGGUGUUCCUCUGGGCUUUUGGGGUGCGAGGUUUUCCCUGAUCUUGCCCUUGGCUGUGUAGAUGGAUGCUGUCCAUUUUCAGCUCUGCAGUGCUUGGAAAGCCAGCCUUCCUGUUAAUGCUACCUUCAGCUUCCUCAAAAACAGGACGAAACCUACAGGUGAGCCUCUCCUCCUGGAUUCCAGGUGCUGCCACAGUGGCUGACGGAAGACUCUCGAAAGAGCUGAUCACAGGCCACCCUCGGUCCAAAUUCCUCCGGGGUGCCUUUACCCUCAAAGCGGUCAGGUUUCUGAGAUGACAAAGCCCCUUUGACAGGCCUGUCAACUUCCCAGGCACCUACCAGGGCCCCAGCCAGGUCCAGAUCCAGAGCUUCCAGGACCCACCAUGUUGCUGGGCCCAUUCCCGGCCCUUCUCUGUGUCUCUGCAGAGGCUUAAUGGAGGGAGGCUCUCUUGAUUGGCAGCUUGUGGGGCAGGUGCCAAGCCUCAUUCAUUACACUUCUCAGCAUCUAACACAGUGCCUGGUGCACAGAAGAUGAAUUCAACUGGCAACGCAAAUGGUGUUCGUGAGCAGCACCCACAAGAACCACUCUCCACAAAGAUCCAACAUCUAGAAAGCCUGAGGCUCCACCCCUGGAAAAAGCUUCUGAAAAUCCUGGAAUCAGUGGGCAAAGCCUUGGCCAUUCUUCCAGACAGGUCAGUGAAACGCUGAUUAAAAACAAAAAGGACCCUAAGUAAAUUCUCCUUCAGGGUGAAUCUUUAAGUCACAAGCUUCUCCGCCUCCCUGGCUUCCCCUUUGUCCUGUUAAUCAGGCUUUGUUUCUGUGACUGUUAUUUAUUUAGAGACAAGGUAUUGCUCUGUCCAGGCUAGAGUGCCGUGGUUCCAUCACGGCUCACUGUAGCCUCAAUCUCCCAAGCUCAGGCGAUCCUUCCGCCUCAGCCUUGUGACUAUUUAUUGCUGGGCACCCACUAUGUGCAAGCACUGCGCUAAACUCUAGGGCUAGAGCAGUGACCAGUGCCACUGAGGUUCCUGCCUUCCUUGGGGUCACAUUGUAGUGGGGAGCACAGACGAUAAAUAAGUAGAUUAAUAUGCAGUAAAAAGUGAGAUGGUGCUACAUGCUAGGUAGCCAAAAAAAAAAAAAAAAAAAAGGCGAGUAAGGAGCUAUAAAGCUGGGGGAGCCAUAGUGGCGAAGUGAUCGGGGAAGGCCUCCCUGAGGAGGGGCCUUCAGAGCAGACACCUGGAUGAAGGAAGGGCAGGCCACACUGAGGUGGGCGGUGUGUUCAGGGCUGAGGGAAGAUGAGGCACAAAAGCUUGGAGGCAGGAAUGUGACUGGCAAGGGCAGUAGGGGGCAGAUGGGGUAGUGUGGGAGGAAAUGAGAUCAGAGAGGUCAGAGGGAUCCAGAGCUGGCAGGGGCUUGUAGGCUUGGAGGAGUUUGGAUCUGACACCAAUGGCCAGAGGGCAAGAGAUCCUUAGCAUUAUUGGCAGCAGGCAGGCACUUCCCCACCCAGAGGUAACAUUCAAAGUGUCUCUUUUCCUUGGCACACUGACUUGUGCUUCAGUAGUACCUCCUGGGAGCCAGGGAAGAUGCAGGGGACACAGGAAAUGAGAGGGUGCUGGGUUCAAAGCUGUCUUCUGCUGUGACUGCUUUGGAACUUGGGUCCAUUGCUUACACUCUCCAAAUCUCAGACUUUUGUGCCCUGCAGCUUUGUCAGGAGGGCUCAGGGACAUGACAUACCUUAUGGGCAGCCUGGCACACAGUGGGCACUCGGGAAACAUUAGCUAUUCGGGAAACAUUAGUGGUCACCCCUUUUCCCUUCUCCAGAGGGCUCUCUGUUGGGUUUAAUCCCAGCAUCACUAGAAUUCCAGGUCCCCUCCCUCUUGGGGAACAAUAGUGUUUUGUCAUAUGCAUUGUCUUCACAUUUCCUUCCUGGAGUUCAGGGGAGGAAAGGGACUUAAGAUUUGUUCGGUGCCAGCCCCCUGCCUGACACCUGCUACACACAAGUCCACAUCAUCCCCCAGAAAGCCCAGGAAGUGGAUACAAGCAUCUUAUUUCAUGGGCAAGGAAGCCGAGACUCAAAGGGGCUAAGGGAUGUAUGCCACAGCUCAUAGGUGGCAGUGCCAGCGUUCCAGUCCAGGCAGGACUGCAAUCAGCCUGGUGGUGCUGGAGGCCAGUUGACUUUGUGUGACCCCGUGGUUUUCCCAUGAAAGAAACAUAAGGACCAGUGCUUGUACCCUGGGCCCCAAUGCUGGGGUCUGAAUCUUGCCUGUGCUUCUUCUAGGGAAGUUACAGGGACAAACAUCCAACAUGCCUCAGUUUCCCCAUCUUGGGGAGAAGAAUAACAGUCCCUACCUUACAUGAUUAUUGUGGGAAUGAAAUGAGAUUACUCACGCAUGUACCUAGGACAGUCCCCGGCACACAGUAGUUGCUCAAAUAACCUUAACUAUCGUAUUAUGCGAAAGUUGUGACCUGGCAUUUUCUUAGUAAUGCUUUCUGAAUCAGAUCCUUCAAGCCUACUCUUCCUUAGGCUGCCCCAGAGGCAAGGAACCGGGUUCCCCGUCUGUGGCAGAUUGUACUUUCACAGAGGACCACAGCAGCCUAUCCCACUUUGCAUGCUCUUCUGCAUUGGCACUCUGCAUUCCCCUUCAAGAAGUGGAGUCAUUCCCCUCUUCCUUGGACCUGGGGCCAGAAGUCAUGUUCCAUUCUUAUCAUAGGUCCGAAAAGGUCACUGAGCUUCCCCUUGCUUCUCUUGGGAUGCUUGCUCUGGGGAAGCCAGCUGCCUCCUAAGUCCAAGUGCUCCGGGACUGUCAUUGUGGAGACCAGGAGCAGGUGCCGGCUGUGCCUGCAUGGCAGUGAAGCCACACUGGACCCUCUAGACCAGCCCACCCACAGUUGAUGCCAUGGAGAGUGGAAUGAUUUUCCAGUGGAGCCCUGCCUGAAUCUCCCAAGAGAGGGGGAGCCCACAGGGUCAGCUGAGUUGAAAUCUGAAGAUUGGGCAGAGAGCACCAAGCCUGCACCCAGUGAGACAGCAGCCCCAGCAUGUGGCUGUUUAAAUUAAAAUUAACUGAUAUUGAGUGAAAUGAAAAGUUCAGUUCCUCCAUCACACAGGCCAUGUUUCAAAUGCUCGGUAGCCACAUGGGCACAGAAUUGCAGCAAGUUCUAUUGGAGGCACUGCUCCAAGGCCCCGGGGUCCUACUGACCAGGUGGAAGGCCACCCGCCAGCUGGGAACAUCCACAUGGAGCUUUGUGUGCCAGAGAAGUCAACUUCUUGAAUGAAGUUAAGACGUGGGCUGGGGGAGGUGUUUGCCACUGUAACUAACAGGUAUCCUGUUAGUUAUCCUGGCCUGGAGGAGCGUUCCAUCUGGUACAGAACAGAGAUAAGUAAACAGUCCAUCGUGGGCCGGGGGAGACACAGGAGCCUGAAGAUCCCUGGGCCCAGAUGCAAGGCGAGGUAAUCAGAGAUGGCCCCAUGGAGGAGGCAGCACCUAUCCCCAGCACCAGGUCCAGCCAAGGGAGAAUGGUGAGAGGCAUUUCGCCUCCAUUUCUCUCCCGCAGUUCCUAGCUCUCCUUCUUUCAGGCACCAAAAGCCUCCUGCUGUCUUCUUUCCCACUGGCG